GCAGCAGCCACUUCCUACCCUUUGCCCAACAGCCGCCUCUCCCUACUAUUUCCCAGCGGAUGCCUUGUUUUUAUAGAUCUGCUCAAUCUAUGCCAGAAACAACUUGACUGAUGAUGAUGGUUUUUAUUUCAUCAUCAUGUACAGUGUCAUUCCAUUGGCCAUUCAUCGAUAAUAUUGAUUUUCUUUCGUCAAGUGUGAUUUCUUUGAUUAAUCAGGAAAAUAAUGUGCCCACAAAAGAGAAGGAAUGUGAGAGUAACAUAGAUGGCUUGAAGGGUCACUCUAUACUUUUUGAAGAAAGUCAUGCAAUUAGUGAAGAAGAGGUGAAAUUCGAAAAGCGGAGCAGUGGAAAAAGCAGACCCCAAAAGAAGAUGGAUCCCAAGAGAAGGAAAUAUGAAAAGACUGAAAUUCAUAUCAUUUUUGGUUGUUUUAUAUGAAAAUUAAAUCGAGGAAACAAGGUUGAUGGUUGAAGAUAUUUGGUUUUGGAAACUUCAAUUUCAAUUAAAGAUAGAAAUGAUACAAGACAAUGAAAAAGUAGAUGGUACAUUAAUUUUUAUUUUUGAAAUACUAGAAAAACGUGGCUUAGCACCGUACUUGAAAAUGUAAUUCAUUCCAAUUCCUCCCAAAUGUGUUGAUAUACUUAUGAGGCUUUAAUGUAACAUAUCAAAAUUCCAUUUUAGUUUUCAUAUCAUUGAAAGAGAAAUCCUAUUUAGAUGUUGUUAA